ACGAACGCUGGCGGCAGGCCUAACACAUGCAAGUCGAGCGCGCCCUUCGGGGUGAGCGGCGGACGGGUGAGUCACGCGUGGGAACGUGCCCUUUUCUACGGAAUAGCCUCGGGAAACUGAGAGUAAUACCGUAUACGCCCUUUGGGGGAAAGAUUUAUCGGAAAAGGAUCGGCCCGCGUUGGAUUAGGUAGUUGGUGGGGUAAUGGCCUACCAAGCCGACGAUCCAUAGCUGGUUUGAGAGGAUGGUCAGCCACACUGGGACUGAGACACGGCCCAGACUCCUACGGGAGGCAGCAGUGGGGAAUCUUAGACAAUGGGGGCAACCCUGAUCUAGCCAUGCCGCGUGAGUGAUGAAGGCCUUAGGGUUGUAAAGCUCUUUCAGCUGGGAAGAUAAUGACGGUACCAGCAGAAGAAGCCCCGGCUAACUCCGUG
rnacentral:rRNA from 1 species